rnacentral:rRNA from 1 species
GACAGAGGGGGCCAGCGUUGUCCGGAUUGACUGGGCGUACAGCGCGCGCAGGCGGUUGGUGACGUGCCGUGUGACAGCUUGCUGCUCACCAGCAAGUGGUCACGGUAAACGCAUCGACUAGAGGGACCGAGAGGGAUGUGGAAUACCCGGUGGAGCGGUGAAAUGCGUUGAUAUCAUCAGGAAUACCGGAGGCGAAGGCGGCUCACUGGGUCUCUUCUGACGCUGAGGAACGAAAGCUAGGGGAGCAAACGGG